AUUGAACGCUGGCGGCAUGCCUAACACAUGCAAGUCGAACGGCAGCACAGCAGUAGCAAUACUGUGGGUGGCGAGUGGCGGACGGGUGAGGAAUACAUCGGAAUCUGCCCUGUAGUGGGGGAUAACGUAGGGAAACUUACGGUAAUACCGCAUACGACGGCGACGUGAAAGUGGGGGACCGCAAGGCCUCACGCGAUAGGAUGAGCCUAUGUCGGAUUAGCUAGUUGGCGGGGUAAGGGCCCACCAAGGCCACGAUCCGUAGCUGGUCUGAGAGGAUGAUCAGCCACACUGGAACUGAGACACGGUCCAGACGCCUACGGGAGGCAGCAGUGGGGAAUAUUGGACAAUGGGGGCAACCCUGAUCCAGCAAUGCCGCGUGGGUGAAGAAGGCCUUCGGGUUGUAAAGCCCUUUUGUACGGGAAGAAAAGCUUCGGAUUAAUACUUCGAGGUCAUGACGGUACCGUAAGAAUAAGCACCGGCUAACUUCGUGCCAGCCGCCGCCGUAACAC
rnacentral:rRNA from 1 species